UAACUUACUUGGAGCCGGGACCAGGGUGAUCACGAAUGCCCUGGCCCCAGAUGGAGACUCACAUGUUGAAGCCGGCGAUGAUCCCCAAUCGAGCUCGCUCAGACGCGUAGAUUUUGCUAGUGGGAAGGUUUCNNN
rnacentral:snRNA from 15 species